AGGAUUAUAAUUUAUUCAAAAUAUUUGAUUUGCACUCAAAAAAAGUUUUAUUAAACUUAUCUUA
rnacentral:tRNA from 1 species